rnacentral:lncRNA from 1 species
CGUUAUUUUAAAUUUCAGAGUUAUUGUUUUAAGUUUCAAGAAAAGUGAAAAGAAAAGUGAAAAGUAAAGUGAAUAGAAAGUACUUGAAGGAGUUAUAACUGCUGUUUUAUUUCCUUCCGUACUUCCUUCAAAGAAUACUUGUAGGCGACCUAUCAUAGUUCACCACAAACGACGCAAGCGGAAAGUUACGUCAAAGUGCAUCCUAUACAACAACAAAAUAAACUAGGCUAAGCAAUUUGUGUAUGCUUUCUUCAUCAUGUUCAUGUUGUUGGUGUUAAUUUGCCAUUGAUAAAAGAUAAAAGUUUUAUCAAUGAAAUUUGUACUGUAUUCUAAAUUGUUUCGUAAAGAUGAUCGGAGCAACAUGACACGCC